rnacentral:lncRNA from 1 species
CGUUUUUAUUGCUAUAAAUACUAGAUCACUUUGCAUUCAAUGAGGGACUUUACAUGAGCAUUUAAAGUGAGACAUCAUUAAUCUAUCACCUAUAUACAUCUAUUUUUUCAAUCUAUUUAUUAGAAAAACAUUUGAUUGAUCCAACUUUUGAAAAUCAUUCUUAUCAAAGUGUUUUUCUUUUAUAACACUUGAGCUUCAAUCGUUGCUAUCUACUAAAGUGUUAGCCAUCUUCUCUUGUUGUAUUCAACUUCAAUUAUAUCAUUUAUUGCAAGAGAAAUUUUCACUUGUAUACUCCUUAUCUUUCAAACUUGUGGGUCGAGUUGAAGUCCCGAAAAUUUCAACAUUGUAAAGGAAUGGUGCUCCUUGUUUGUAAGUCACCGAAAGCGUUGUAAGAAGGUUGGAUUGCACCAUAAGUCAAUCAAUAUAGUGAAAAAGGGCUUGCUCGUGACAGAGAGUUUGGUAACGGGGAACGUAGAUCGUGAUUGAAUUGAACCUCCUUAUUGCAUCGUUUGCACUCUCUUUUCCAUUCCUCUUAUUACUUUUGUGUUAUCUUGUUUAUUCAUAGUUAUUUGUUUAAAUUUGCGCUUAUAUUCGAAAAAGGAUCGAAUAACCAAUUCACCCCCCUCUUGGUUAAUUGUCUUGGGCUUUCAAUUGGUAUUUGAACUUGAUACUCCUUUUUUUUUUUUUUUUUUUUUUUAAUUCUACAAUCUUGAGUAAUGGCUAACCAAGUUUUUCAAAAUAGUGAGGGGCACUCUACAAACCGACCGCCAUUCUUUAAUGGUACCCAUUAUAACUAUUGGAAGGUUAGGAUGAUGAUAUAUGUUCAAUCUAUUGAUUACAAUAUUUGGGAAGUCAUUGAAUAUGGUCCAUAUGCUCCCACUAAAACUAUUAAGGUAGAUAGUAGACCGACCAAACUCUUCCCAAAUCUAGAGAAGAAUAUGAUGAUGAAGAUAAGAGAAAACUAUCAUUAAAUGCCAAGGCUGAAAAUCUAUUUUAUUGUGUACUUGAUAGAAAUGAAUUUAAUCGAAUUAGUACAUGUGAUUCGGCAUAUGAUAUUUGGCAUGUUCUUGAAGUCACUCAUGUUGACACAAGUAAAGUUAAGGAAACAAAGAUAAAUAUGCUAGUUAAAGAAUUUGAAAAUUUCUUUAUGAAACAAAAUGAGCCUAUUGUUGAUAUGAUUACUCGUUUUACUGAUAAUGUAAAUGGUCUUAAAGGUUUUGAUCUUAAAUUUACUAACGGUGAACUUGUGAGCAAAAUGCUUAGAUCCUUAUCAGAGGAAUGGAGUCCAUUGAGGAUGUUGAUCGAGAAUACUAAGAAUGUAAGUACAUAUCCUUUUGAAUAGCUCUACGGCACAUUAAUGACCUAUGAGCUAAAUAAUGACGAGGUUAAGGAGAAAACGAGAAAAAGCAAGGAGGAAUCAAAGGAACCUCCUAAACGACAAAUUGCAUUAAAAUCGGCAAUUGAAGAAGGAACAUCAAAUGAAAAUAUAAGCGAUGAAGAACUUGAUGAUUUGGUCCUUCUUGUCAAAAAAUGGAAGAGCUUUCGUAAUAAUCUAAGAUUCCAAAAGAAAGAAGAAAAAGGGGAAGAUAGGAACAAAAAGAUUAUUUGUUAUGAUUGUGACAAGCCGGGUCACAAGAGAAUCUAGUGUCCAAACAAAAAGAAAAAUUUUAAAAAAAAGGCACUCUAAGCCACAUGGGAUGAUAGCGACGACGAAGAACAAAAUGGAAAUAGUCAAGAUGAAGUGGCAAAUAUGUGCUUCAUGGCAAUCGAAGACGAGGUAUGUUCUUAUGACGAGCUCUCAAUUUCUUAUGAUGAAAUGUUUGAAAAAUUUGAAAAACUCGCUUU